GGCUUGAGUGCCAGAGGCCAAAGCACCAGCAUUCAAGCGAUGAGAUUGAGGUCCUGUCCACUGGGACUCCCCUUCAGCAGGAAAGCCCGGAACUCUACAGAAAAGGAACGACACUUUCGGACCUCACGCCGGACGACAGCCCUCUCCAAAGCUUUCCUGCCAGCCCCUCCUCAUCCCCGCCUCUGGGCCCUUCCUGUCGGAACAAGAACGCCCACUUCACCAGACAGGUCUCUGUGGACGAGGAGCGGGGUGGGGAGAUCCAGAUGCUGUUGGAAGGACGCGGUAGGGAGUUCAUGAGGCCUAACAGCUGGGGCGAAGACAAGGAGGGUGGGCCUCACGGGAUAAGAGGCGGGGUCUUGCGCAGCGGCCAACUGGAAGACCCUCGAGGCCGGAGUGGUGGUGGUGGUGGGCCCAAGCAUGGUACCGCCAAUCACAAACCGCGGGAGCGGUGGGCCGACCCUCCGACCAUGGUUUCGUGGACUUAUCACCGCCCGCACCACCACGGCUCGGGGAGCAACAAGCUCUCGGAGCUGGACGAGGAGAAGCUGAGCAAUUACGAGAUGGAGAUGAAGCCCCUCAUGAGGAUGGACUCUUACAUGCAGGAGAUGCAGUCCCAAAAAAGGCAUCACGGCAAAAUGGGCCUGAGCAAGAACCUGGCUGAAGAACAGCACCCUGGGGAAGAGUGGGCCUUUGGCGUCCAGAGGCUGAGGUCAUCCUCCCAGAACAAGGAGAACUUCCGGCCGGCAUCUUCUGGUGAGCCAGCAGUGCAGAAACUAGAGAGCCUGAGGUUCGGGGAUAAAGGUGAACCCCGGCUGUUGAGGUGGGACUUAACUUGCUCUCCACCACAGAAAUCCUUACCUGUUGCACUAGAAUCAGAGGAGGAAAAUGGAGAUGAGCUCAAAUCCAGCGCGGGUUCAGCUCCCAUCCUAGUCGUCAUGGUGAUCUUGUUAAACAUUGGAGUCGCCAUUUUGUUUAUUAACUUUUUCAUCUAAACCGAGACUGUCUUGUUUGCAAAACUCCAACCGGUUAAUAAUUAAUAAAAACAACAACCACAAAAAUCAAACCCCGCCCCCAAGCGGUCUGAAAAUGGGGAUAAUGCUGCGAGGGACCCAACGGGAGAACGAUGUCGUCGUUUUGAACUGUCCCGCGACAACUUUCAAGUCUUUUCACAGAAGAUCCACCACCACCGAUUGAGUCUCACUCACAGUUUGCCUUUCUCCCCCCACCCCACCCCGUCCCCUUCCUAGGUAAUGUUUUUGGAUUCCAGCCCAGAAUUCUUUGCUUGCACAAUCCUUUUGCUGUGUGGCAUGGCAGAAUGGUAGCAGCAGCAUUUCCGCCCCUCCCAACACCAGACAGGACGGAAACCGUUCCUCCGAGUGGAUUUAGCCAGGUCUAGGAAAGUGGUUUCAUGUGAAUUGCCUCCAUCUUCAGACGUUUAAUUCACGGCAACCUUCGGAGCGAUGCGGCGGUCCUGGCAUUGCUUGGUGAUAUGCACGGUGGGGGGGCCUUUGAGAAGAUCCCAGGGCGAUCCCGGUGUUCGCAUUGAGCUGGGAAAGUCUGCGUGGCCAAAACAGAGAACGGUCCGAGCCAAAUGGCACUCAAGGGGUGAUGUGGAUGGUCGAGAACCAUUUCUUGAAUCAUUUAAACAGCCAUAUCCAGCACAAAAGUCUUAAGCCCUUCCCUCUCCUCAUCCAAAGUAUUUUUUUCCCCCACCCAAUGAGUUAAAAACCAUUCGUUGUCCCAGGCGACAAUAGAAAAUUAUUCUAUUUAUUUGCAAAUUUUAUUGGCCAUCCGUCGUACCAAAGUUUUGCAUAAAGUCACCUGCAGGAUGCUGAGGCUCAGGUGUUUAAAAUAAACUCCAGAAAGGUUUUGUUUUGUUGUGAAAGAUGACCAAGGUUUGUCCAGGAAACGCCUCCUCCAGAAUUGCCAAGGAGUCGGCCCCUCUCUAUGGGGGAACAAUGCUUGAAUGUUUCCCCCCCCCUCUCCCCUCCUCCCAAGAGCCACCGUGGCACCGCGAGGAACGGGGCGCGACGGGCAUCCCUUCUUCCAUCUUGCCAUGAGCCAUUUCCAGAUGUCCCGCUUGGCCUCGGAGCAUGUAAUAGUUUUGCAUUUUGUCUGCAGGAUGUAUAUUCCAGCUUCCGACAUAACCCCUGAACAAAAAAAAACAAAAAAAAAAACAACACAACCAAAACCAAAACUAGAGAACAACAACAACAACAACGAAAACAUUGUCAACAACAGCCUCUGAGUAUGUAAUGCUCUUUUUA